rnacentral:rRNA from 1 species
AAGGAUCAUUAUCGAGUUUUGAACGGGUUGUCUGCUGGCUCGCAAGGGCAUGUGCACGCCUGUCUCAUCCACUCUCAACUUCUGUGCACUUUUCAUAGGCCGGCUUGUGGGUGCGUUCGCGCACUUGUAGGUGUCGGGCUUAUGCUUUAUUACAAACGAUUCAGUUUUAGAAUGUCAUACUUUGCUAUAACGCAAUUUAUAUACAACUUUCAGCAACGGAUCUCUUGGCUCUCGCAUCGAUGAAGAACGCAGCGAAAUGCGAUAAGUAAUGUGAAUUGCAGAAUUCAGUGAAUCAUCGAAUCUUUGAACGCACCUUGCGCUCCUUGGUAUUCCGAGGAGCAUGCCUGUUUGAGUCUCAUGGAAUUCUCAACCUUCAGCUUUAUUGAUGAAGGCUUGGACUUGGAGGUCGUGCCGGCUCUCGUAGUCGGCUCCUCUGAAAUGCAUUAGUGCGAACGUUACCAGCCGCUUCAGCGUGAUAAUUAUCUGCGUUGCUGUGGAGGGUAUUCUAGUGUUCGCGCUUCUAACCGUCUUCGGACAAAUUUCUGAACUCUGAGC